rnacentral:misc_RNA from 1 species
UGGUUCUGGCAUCGAUGAAGAACGCAGCGAAAUGCGAUAAGUAGUGUGAAUUGCAGACUUUAGUGAAUCAUCGAAUUUUUGAACGCACAUUGCGCCCCUUGGUAUUCCAUUGGGCAUGCCUGUUCGAGCGUCAUUUACAACCUCAAGCUCUGCUUGGUGUUGGGCGUCUGUCUACGCUGCUGGCGUUGACUCGUCCUAAAUUUAUUGGCAGCGGCUUUGCCGGCUUUUCGCGCAGCACAUUGCGCCAGGAAGGUCUUUGGCAAGUCUGCAUCCAUCAAGCCUUUCAGUUUGACCUCGAAUCAGGUAGGGAUACCCGCUGA